rnacentral:rRNA from 1 species
GUUUUAUUGAANUUAAUUUUAAGUCAAAUCUGCUCAAUGAAUUAAUUUUAAAUAGCUGCAGUAUUAAUAACUGUACAAAGGUAGCAUAAUAAUUAGUUUUUUAAUUAAAAACUUGUAUGAAAGAUUUAAUGAAAUAUAAUCUGUCUCAAAUUUAUUUAAUAAACUUUUUUUUUAAAUAAAAAAAUUUAAAUUCUUUUUAAAGACGAGAAGACCCUAAAGAAUUUUUAUUAAAAAAAAUUAAAUUAAUUUAUUUUAAUUUUAAUUGGGGAAAUUUUAAAAUUUAAAUAAUUUUUAAUUAUAUAAACAAUUAUUUUUGUAUAAAAAAAUUUUAUAUUAAAUAAUAAACUAAAUUACCUUAGGGAUAACAGCAUAAUUUUUUUUUUAAGAUCUCAUUUUUAAAAAANUUUAU